GACGAACGCUGGCGGCGUGCUUAACACAUGCCAGUCGAACGGAAAGGCCCUGCUUUUGUGGGGUGCUCGAGUGGCGAACGGGUGAGUAACACGUGAGUAACCUGCCCUUGACUUUGGGAUAACUUCAGGAAACUGGGGCUAAUACCGGAUAGGAGCUCCUGCUGCAUGGUGGGGGUUGGAAAGUUUCGGCGGUUGGGGAUGGACUCGCGGCUUAUCAGCUUGUUGGUGGGGUAGUGGCUUACCAAGGUUUUGACGGGUAGCCGGCCUGAGAGGGUGACCGGCCACAUUGGGACUGAGAUACGGCCCAGACUCCUACGGGAGGCAGCAGUGGGGAAUAUUGCACAAUGGGCGGAAGCCUGAUGCAGCAACGCCGCGUGCGGGAUGACGGCCUUCGGAUUGUAAACCGCUUUCGCCUGUGACGAAGCGUGAGUGACGGUAAUGGGUAAAGAAGCACCGGCUAACUACGUG
rnacentral:rRNA from 1 species